rnacentral:misc_RNA from 1 species
CAGAGAACUUGCCCUUUGGGGUAGAUCUCCCACCCUUUGUUUACCAUACCUUUGUUGCUUUGGCAGGCCCGCCUUUGGGCCGCCGGCUUCGGCUGGUCAGCGCCUGCCAGAGGAUCUCAAACUCUUGAUUUAGUGUUGUCUGAGUACUUGAUAAUAGUUA